GACGAACGCUGGCGGCGUGCUUAACACAUGCAAGUCGAGCGGUAAGGCCUUUUGGGGUACACGAGCGGCGAACGGGUGAGUAACACGUGGGUGAUCUGCCCUGCACUUCGGGAUAAGCCUGGGAAACUGGGUCUAAUACCGGAUAUGACCUCCUAUCGCAUGGUGGGUGGUGGAAAGAUUUAUCGGUGCAGGAUGGGCCCGCGGCCUAUCAGCUUGUUGGUGGGGUAAUGGCCUACCAAGGCGACGACGGGUAGCCGACCUGAGAGGGUGACCGGCCACACUGGGACUGAGACACGGCCCAGACUCCUACGGGAGGCAGCAGUGGGGAAUAUUGCACAAUGGGCGAAAGCCUGAUGCAGCGACGCCGCGUGAGGGAUGACGGCCUUCGGGUUGUAAACCUCUUUCAGCAGGGACGAAGCGCAAGUGACGGUACCUGCAGAAGAAGCACCGGCUAACUACGUG
rnacentral:rRNA from 1 species